UUAAAAAGAAAAAGAAGAGUCAGAGAUCCAAAGAAUAAGUAAGUUAACCAGGCAGUAUGAGGGUCCAGCAGUAACAGCAUCCAUCAAAAAAACAGCUCAAAGAGGGUACAAUGUUAACACAUGAUGUUUCUGUCUGAGAAACUUACAGCUUUGUGAAAAAUAUUUGGAAGAAAGAUAAAAUAUACCAAGCAUCUGGAAUGAGGUCCCCUCACAAUACCCUUAAAAUUGGGUCCAUCUUACUUCGGCAAAGCUAAAUCAUCAAAGGCAUCGCCACUUCCAUCUUGCCUUCUUUUGGAUUACUCACCCUAGGGGAAGUCAGCCACCAUGUCAUGAGGAACUCAAGCAGCCUGUGGAAGAGCCCACUUGGAGAGGAACUGUGACCUCCUACCAACAACCAGCAAGAACUUCCCAGUUAUACUGUAAGCUGCAUGAGGGCAGGAUGUUACCAUGUUCACUACAAGAUCGCCAGGACCUGACAGAGUACCUGCUACAUGGUUGGCACGAAAUAAAUACUAGUUAAAGGAAUAUAUAAAUGAACAAAAAAAAAAUCUUCCCUGGAAAAAUGAACUGAUGCUAAGCCAACGUUUGAAGCAAGACCCAAAUCUACAGAAUGCUACAGAAAUGAACAUACAACAAAGGAGAAAGAUGGCUUCUUGAAACGGCAUUUGGAAUGGUAUUGAAACCAUGGCUGAAGUGGUAGCAGAAGUGGAGAUGAAAGAAUUGAACUCCACUUUAUUGCUCAGUGGUUACCAAAUUUCAGUAUAAGGUGUAAGGUAAGUAAUCUAUAAUCCACCUAAAUAAAUACAUUUGUAAAGCA